GACGAACGCUGGCGGCGUGCCUAAUACAUGCAAGUAGAACGCCGUUGCGAACGGGUUAGUAACGCUUAGGUAACUGCCUGGUAGCGGGGGAUAACUAUUGGAAACUCUAGCUAAUACCGCAUACUACCAGAUGGACCUGCGUUGUAUUAGCUAGUUGGUGAGGUAACGGCUCACCAAGGAAACGAUACAUAGCCGACCUUGUAGGGUGAUCGGCCACAAUGGGCCUGAGACACGGCCCAGACGCCUACGGGAGGCAGCAGUAGGGAAUCUUCGGCAAUGGGGGGAAUCCUGACCGAGCAACGCCGCGUGAGUGAAGAAGUUUUUCGGAUCGUAAAGCACUGUUGUUAAGGAAGCGGUACUUAACCAGAAAGUGACGGCUAACUACGUGCCAGCAGCCGCGGUAAUAC
rnacentral:rRNA from 1 species